rnacentral:lncRNA from 10 species
AUUUGGCUGUGUUAGUAUGUGGUAAACAGAAUUAAAUUUUUUUAUGUGAACUCGUACAUAUGUGCUUCAUAAUAUGUCACUCCUAUUUAACAUCUCUUUCACACACACACAUCCCCCCACCUCCGCACACACCCUUUUGCUAGUCUUCUUCCAUUUUGCUUAUUAACCCAAAGAAAGAAAAAAAUACAGAAGCCUUCUUGCAUAGGUUGCUUUAAUCAGAUGAAUUAUUGAAGCCACUCUGUCUAAAUAUUAUUUUCCCUUAUUUUUCUUUCAUUAGUUUUUCAUUCAGUUGUAUUUAUUUAAUUUUUAUUUCAUUUUCCAGACCUAAGUCAGUGUUAGUCUACCACUGUACAUCUGGUAACCUCAAUCCCUGCAACCGGGGCAAAAUGGGUUUCCAGGUCUUGGCAACCUUUGAAAUUCCAAUUCCAUUUGAGAGAGCUUUGACGAGGCCAUAUGCUGAUUUCACCACCAGCAACUUCAGAACCCAGUACUGGAAUGCCAUCAGCCAGCAGGCCCCUGCCAUCAUCUAUGACUUCUAUCUGUGGCUCACUGGAAGGAAACCCAGUUUUUCUCAAAAUCUGAGGAGCUGCUACGGAAAGCACACCAGAUCUCAUGUGUUGAAACGUGAACAUGCUCACCACAGACCAAGGACGUUCAACCUGUCAAUCCCCAGGAUUUCCAAGCCAGGGGUUUCAUCUCUUACUUGUGGAAAAUUUGUUCAUUUGAUUAUGAACCAAUCAGCUUUUCAUUGUGUCAAAAUCAAA